GACGAACGCUGGCGGCGUGCUUAACACAUGCAAGUCGAACGGUGAACCUCUUCGGAGGGGAUCAGUGGCGAACGGGUGAGUAACACGUGGGCAACCUGCCCCCGGCUCUGGGAUAACUCCAAGAAAUUGGGGCUAAUACCGGAUGUUCACCGCUUCCUGCAUGGGUGGUGGUGGAAAGGGUUUCCGGCUGGGGAUGGGCCCGCGGCCUAUCAGCUUGUUGGUGGGGUAGUGGCCUACCAAGGCGACGACGGGUAGCCGGCCUGAGAGGGUGACCGGCCACACUGGGACUGAGACACGGCCCAGACUCCUACGGGAGGCAGCAGUGGGGAAUAUUGCGCAAUGGGCGGAAGCCUGACGCAGCGACGCCGCGUGGGGGAUGACGGCCCUCGGGUUGUAAACCUCUUUCAGCAGGGACGAAGCGCAAGUGACGGUACCUGCAGAAGAAGCACCGGCCAACUACGUG
rnacentral:rRNA from 1 species